AUGUUUUUCUUGGCGAAUGCCGGAUUUGCUUGCGCUAAGCCUAUAUGGAAAUCGAAGGCGACCCCUAGAUGCAAAUUCUUCAUGUGGUUAGUGGUCCACAAGAGAUGCCAGACAACGGACAAUUUGCAGAGCAGGGGCUGGCCCAACGAUCCCUGCUGCCAACUAUGUCACUCGAAGCUGGAGGAUUGCACACACCUUUUUGUACACUGCAGAUAUACGCAACUUGUGUGGACAAGGAUCAAACAGUGGUCAGGCGCCAACUUCACAAUACCAAGUGAGAGCUACACUUCUACUGAAGACUGGUGGAUAAGCGCCAGGCAACAGAUACCCAAGACGAGGAGGCGCGUGUUCGACACCAUUACCACCCUGAUCCAUUGGCGAAUCUGGAAAGAGAGGAACGCCAGAGUCUUCGACCAGCAGGCCAGCAGUGUUGACAAGGUCUUUGAUGCUUUCAGGGAAGAUCUGGCCACCUAG
rnacentral:rRNA from 1 species